rnacentral:rRNA from 1 species
UACAGAGGUCUCAAGCGUUGUUCGGAAUCACUGGGCGUAAAGGGUGUGUAGGCGGCGUGAAAAGUCAGAUGUGAAAUCCAGAAGCUCAACUUCUGAAAUGCAUCCGAUACUGUCAUGCUGGAGGUCUGUAGAGGGGUCUGGAAUUCUCGGUGUAGCAGUGAAAUGCGUGGAUAUCGAGAGGAACACUUAAUAGCGAAAGCAAGACCCUGGGCAGAGCCUGACGCUGAAACACGAAGGCCAGGGAGCGAACGGG